GCCGGAAGUCACGGCUGCGGAGCCGGCCUGCGUCAGGUUAGGAAGGUUCCAGAAGCCGAGGGGCCCGGCAGGCGUGGCUCCGGGGGCAGCGGCAAACCUCAGCUCCCCGGGCGGGAUGUGCCGGCGGGUUGAGGCCCUGAGCUCGGCGGGGUGUGCGGUGGCAACGAUGGCGUGAGCUGCCCGCAGAAGCUUCUAACAGCUUCUCUUCAGGUUUAUGAGUCACACAGAGAGAGAGAGAGGCAGAGACACAGGCAGAAGGAGAAGCAGGCUCCAUGCACCGGGAGCCCGACGUGGGAUUAGAUCCCAGAUCUCCAGGAUCGCACCCUGGGCCAAAGGCAGGCGCCAAACUGCUGCGCCACCCAGGGAUCUCUUCAGUUCUAGUUUAAAAGCAGUUUGGUAAGAGAAUUCCUUUUCAUUUGGGGAAGGUCAGUCUUUGGUCCAUUAAGACCUCCAACUGAUUGGAUGAGGCGCACUCACGUUAUGAAGGGUAAGUUGCCUUACUCAGAAUCCACUGAUUUAAAUGUUAAUCUCAUCCAAAAAACGCUUUCCCAGAAACAUCCAGAAAAAUGUUUGAGAAAUACCUGGCCACCGUGGCUCAGCCAAUUUGAAUUUGUGACCCGCGAAUAACAGUACUAAACUGAGUUUUUACCUAGUGAUGAGUCUUUGACUUGGACUAUAAAGAUUCUUCAGGGAGUGUGGGAGAAUCCAUCCAGCAGCUCUAACAAGGAGUUGAGUCCUGCCUUCCAUCCUGACUCCUUCCAGGCACUUGACUUGAGGGGAAUAAUUGCCCCAGUGGCAGAAGGGGAUCUAUAGGCUUGAAACAAGCAGCAGAAGCAGCAACUAUUUGGCACCUGGAGAAUCCCUCCUAAUGAUCUGGGUCUGGAGAUGCUUCUCAACAUAGUGUUUGUGGGCAGGUCAUCAGGCCCUGUCUGUGACAAAUUGUUCACACCAUUGAGAAAGGACAUGAUCCUGUACCUUCACACCCAUCUCAUUGUAACUUCAGGGUAACAAAGGCAAACCAAAGACAUCCAUUUGGAGAAUUUGGAUGAAGCAAAUUUCAUCAUGCCUCUCCUCACUGUCCCUGGGUAACCUCCAUUCUCAUGGAUUCAGCCACCACCAGUGGUCUUGAUGACCUCCAAAUCCAUCUCUCUCAUCGGAGCCCAAAACUUUCUUCAGAGCUUAAGCCUGGACUUCUCAACCUGAAUAUAAAAUGGACACCUCAAAAAAUAUGUUCACAAUGGAACUCACCCCAAACAUGUUCUCUUUUAUUUCCUAGCCCUGUUAGUGGCACCCUGCCUCACCACUCACUGGAACUAGUUACCUUUUACUUCUCCAUUUCUGAUCUUCACACACAUCGAAUUUAUCACCAAAUUAUGUGGAUUUAACAUUCUGAAGAGGUUUUGUUUUUUUUUUUUUAAAGAAAAAUAUAUCUCUUUCUUUCCAUUCCUGAAAUUAUUACAGUAAUCCAGGCUCUUAGAGUUAUCCUAAUUUGCUUACAACCGGUCUUCUUCUACCUAAAUUCGUUUUAGAUUGCAUACAACAGUUUAAAUAAUUGAUCUCAAAUACUUUAAAUCUUUAAAAGCUCCCCAUCAUUUACUAAGCACCAAACUAAGCAGUAAACUACUUAUCCAGCCCUCUUUGACUUCCCUCUCCAGUAUUAUCUCCCAAUAAUGCCCCCUGUCCCUUUCCACUUUUGAAAUAUCCUUUUAAUUCCACACAUGGACCAUGCAGCUUCCUGCUCCAUGCCUCUGCGGGACUUAUUCCUUCAAUCUGGAACACUCAUCCUACCCUUCUUCAUAGGCUAAUUAUGCCUGACUCAUCUUUAAUACUCAGCUAAAGCAUUAGCUCUUCCAGGAAACCUCUUGUGAACUCAGAAUGGAACAAGUACCGUUCCUCUCUAUUAUUCCCCAUAAUACUCUGUAGAUAAAUAUCUCUUUUAUUAUCCCACAUGUCCAUUUCUCUUACUGAAUUUUUAGGACCCUUUUAAAAAAAUCUUUACUCUCAGAUUUCCUCAGAUUCCUAGAAUGACAGUAGAAAUGGGAAAAAUUCAUUUUGCACAUAAGUCCUAUAUCUUUGUGGUUUUAGAUUUCACUGAGCAAAUGUUAUUAAUUCUACCAACAAAUACCUUCAAUUCACUAAAACGUCAUAUCAGUUUAUUGUACAUGGAACAUCCCUGUGUAAAGAUCUCCAAAGAUCUUUAAUAUCUCCACACUUGGAAGCCACACAUCUUCUCUUUAACCUACAACAUCUAAUUCUCCAAUACCACUGACCUCGUUGAAAAGUGAUUUUUGGAUUAAGUGCCUUCUGUGAUGUAUGUUUCCAAUAUGGCUGACAUUUCCAAGUGACUAACAUGACUUACUCUCUUGGCUGCAAUCUUGGGGUUCCACAAACAGUCAUCAGAACAUCAAACAAGCAAAGCAAACUGGCAAAAUCCCAUCUUAGAUUAUGUUAGGGAUCCAACACAGGCAUUGCUGGAACAUUAAGAAAUCUCUAGAGAAUACCUAAGAAUAGAAAGGGACUCUCUGCCAGCUUACCUAGUUGGAAAAGAAUAUCUGGCAUUUCAUUAUCUCAAUUAAAUCUUUGUGUUCGUCACACUAUAAAUAUAACUGGGGUUAAGAAAUCAAUCCUCAUCUAUGAGAGGCUUGGAAUUUAAAGAUGCAAAUAUUCUUGGAUGCAUGAUACAAAUACUUAUAGAUCAUAUUAUGUUUUUGCUUUAAAAUUCUUAACUCCUUGAUUACAUUCAGGAUCAAACUCCUUAUGAUACAACAUCCCUGAGAGACAUUAUGGCAUGGAAAACAGAAGUGUGUGUCCCAGCACCAGAGUAGAUUGAUAUCCAAAUACUUGCUAAGAAUAUAACUAUCCAUAUUUCAAUUUCUUCAUCUGCAAAAUGGGAAUAAUAAAAUAAGAAUAGUGCCUAUUUAUGAAGUAUUGUGGCAAUAAAAGACACGACAAGAACCUGGAAGAGUGUCUGGCACAUAAUUAUUAAAUAAAAUUUAACUACUGUUAGGUAACAUAUGACUUGUCCAUUUCUCUAUUACAUUUGUCAUUGUACUCCAGCCAUAUUGAACUUGAAAUUCCUCUGUUGCAUUAUUCUCAUAUUGCUUUGCACCUGCUACCAGGAAUGUUUCUGCCUCCUUCUUAUGGUUAAAUCCUACAAAUUUCCCUACCAGUCUCUGUUAAUGGACCAAUUUGUGUACUGUCAUAGAUCCCUGUGCUUCCUGCUCCCACUGUCCUGAUGCUCCUUCACAUGUCCAUCUCCCACACUAUACUCUAAAGCCCUCAGUGGGAGGGAGUGUUUUCUUUUCCUUUCAUCUCCCAAUUUAUACACAGUAACUGCCAUAUAAAAGAUGCUUAAAAAUACCUAUGAAAUGAGCUGAAGACUAAAUAUCCCCCCAAACAAAUGUGAAAAGUGAAAAUAAACAUCUAUCUAAUUCAAAAGAAUGAGAAGACAAGCCACAGAUUGAGCAAAGAAUAUUUGCAAAUGAUACAUCUGAUAAAAAGAAAAUUAUCCAGAAUACAUAAAAAAUUCUUAAAAACAAUAAAAUCAACAAACCAAUUCAAAAAUGGCUGAAAGACCGUAAUGGACACCUCCCCUGUAAAAACAUACAGAUGGCAAAUAAACAUAUGAAAAAAUGCCCCAUAUCAUAUGUCACAAGGGAAAUUAAAAUUAAAACAGUGAGAUGCUGCGGUGCCUGGCUAGCUCAGUUGGUAGAGCAUGCAACUCUUAAUCUCAAGGUCAUGAGUUCAAGCCCCAUGUUGGGCAUAAAGACUACUUAAAAUAAAAAUUAACAAAGUAAAACAGAUACCACUGCACAUCUACUAGAAUGGUCACGAUCCAGAACCCUGAUAGUACCAAAUGCUGACAAGGAUGUGUAACAACAGAAACUCAUUCGUUGCUGGUUUGGUCUUAAGUGUGAUGGAGGACAUGAACUAUAUGGUUGAGUAUCAGUGUACAGGCUCUGAGAAAUGCCUCUCAAACUGCAAUAUGUAGAAGAGUGACCCAGAUUCUGAUUUCAUAGGUCUGAAAUUCCAUGUUUCUAACAUGUAGCCAGGUAAAUAACAAUACUGCUGGUCUGUGAACCAUAUACUGAUGGAAGGUUCUAGAGUCAGGCCCUCUGGGCUCAAAUCCCAGUCCUGAUAUGGGCUUUUUAACCUCCUGGGAUUCAAUUUUUUUCCCAUCUGAAAAUUGAGAAUGACAACAGCCCUGACCUAGGGUUUUAUGAGGAUUAAUUUAGGGAAUAUAUAUAUAUCAGGCAUUUAGAGCAGUACUCUGAAUCUGAUAAUCAGUGUUUGCCAUUAUUACCCCCUUGGAAUUUAAUUCAUCCUGACUUGAGCUCAUACAAUUGUUAUGUGCUUUCUUAUCAUAUGCUCACCUAUUUUGGGCUUUCAUUCUCUCUUAAACUGAAGUAUGAAUCUCCAUAUUUUCCAGUUUACUGCUUUUUGAUAGUAAAAAUGAAAGCACGUAGGAAUUGAGAAAUUUCACUUGUUUUUCAUGUACCAUCUACCCUGUGUAGUCAGCUUAUGCUUUUCAUGUUUUUCUUCUCGUUCCAGGUGUACUUUGAAAUAUUCUAUUUAACAUUUUUGGCAUUUCGUUAAACUUAAUUCAUCCUGAUGCUAUUCAAUGUCAGAAGUCUGUUUAAAAAUAACAGAGUCAUUUACAUUAGCUAUUAUAAAUAGCUAAGUGAUUCAUUCAAAUUAUUUUGUGUGGCCUAAAUGAAAAAAAGCUUCUCACACUCAGGCUCUUGCUGCCCGGGUGAGGAAGCCAGAUAAUAAUAGGUCAGUUUUCCCUUAUGACUGAUACGGGACAGAUAGGACAGAUUGUAUAGUUCAUUAUCAGUCCUCCAAGCAGUCACCACACCCUUGUUUUAAGACAAUUUAGAAAAUUGGGGUUGUAAUGAAGGGGAUCAUUGCUGGGUACGAAUUAUGUUAGUUUUUACAGAGUUGUUGCCAAAUCCUACUUUACUUGGAUAAAAGGCAACUGAGAGUUUUAAUGUCACUAACAUGCCUCAUAAAUCAUGACUAUGCUAAGUAUUAUGAAAAUUAAAGUGAUAAGGCUGCAGUUCUCACAAAGAAGCAAUCAUUAGAUUAAAUGAUAAAUUGGAAAUCAUCCAUACCUAAGCCGGUGGCUGAGAACAGGCAGGUCCCAAGACACACCAUGCUGUGUAAACCCUGAAUAAUAAAGACAACUUAACUUGAAUUCGGUUUAAGAGAUUAUAAAAUCUUCCCACGUAUAUUAUUUUAUUUGAUCUUCCCAGCGGAAUCUCAAGGAAUUCCACAGAAACAUUUCUUUCUGCCACGUCUGGAAUGGUAGUCAGUAGUUUGGAUUCUUAAAUCAGAUUGCCUGAUUUUGUUAGUUUAGUUCCUCCAGAAAACAGAUGCCAAAAUGGGAUUAAAUGUGCAAGAAUUUUCUUAAGGGAAACGCCUGAGUUGGAGACAAUGCGGGAGAGAGCUGGGAUAAGGUGGGUCAUCAGUGGUGCUUGUCUGGGCCUAAGUAAAGGAGGGAGGGUUGGGUGGAAGCGUCCUAGACUGUUGUGAAGUCUAACAGAGAUUUGGGAAGGAUCUUUACACAUACUUUAGGCAAAGUGACCUGUCAGAGAACCUGUAUCAUCCAGAAAUGGACCUGUCACAGCAUCCCUGCAAUGGAUUUCAGUGAGCUGCAGCUGAGCACCUUGGUCAGUAAUGCAUCCUGUAGUUGGAGAUCAUAGGUGCCCCAUGGUUAAAAUCCUAGUUCCACCAUUAAUUAGCUGUUAUUUUAGCAAAUUACUCUGCUUCUUUCUAAGACUCAUCUUCCUCAUUUAUAAAAUGGUAAUCAUAGUGAUGCCUCUUCUAUUGUGUGCAUUAAAUGAGAUGCACAUAAAAAUAUUAUUUUUCUCUGAGGCUUGUGGGCCUGCAAGUACCAACUUCUUCCAUAAAAUAGGAGAUCCAGGUCCAUCCUGCUGGGUGGCUUGUGAUAGAGGUAAAGUCGGGUCUGAAAUUCACAGAUUUGCUAGGCUAAUGGGCACUGCUUUCUAAUCUCACUCAUCAAGAAGCACCCCCAAAAUUUUGCCUUUUGACUUUUGAAUAUGUUUCUCUUUUAAAAAAUGAAAGAAAUAUGGGGAGCCUGGGUGGCUUAGUUAUUAGUUAAGCGUCUGACUCUUGAUUUCAGCUCAGGUCAUGAUCUCAGAGUCCUGAGAUCUAACCCCACAUUGCACUCCACACUGGGCAUGGAACCUGCUUAAGAUUCUAUCUCUGUCAAGAAGGAAGAACAUGAUAAGCAAAAAUAUGGUUAAAUACAAUUGACUUUAAUUCUCUUUAGUUUUCUAAAUUAUAUUUGGUGGUUGAAGCCAAAAGUGUAACACUAUCUUAUGUAGUUCUAGAUGUACAUUGAGGAAAUAUGUAAGCAAAUUAAAUUUUAAGCAGGUAAUUAGGGCACACAAAUCAGAAAGGAAGAAUACAACUUUCCCUAUUUCUAAAUGAUGAUUUUCUAUGUAGAGAGCCCUAUGAAGUAAAAGGAAAAACAAAAUAAAAUCUUCUAGAACUAGUAAUUGAGUUUAUCAAGGUUGCAAAGUACAAAAAAAAAAAAAAAAAAAAACCAAAAAGCAAAAAAUCAACUGUAUUUCUAUAUACUAAAAACAAAUUACCCAAAUAAAAAAUGCAGAACCAUUUACAAUCAAUAAAAAAUUAUGCAUUAACAGAAUAUGUGUAGGACUUGUGUGCUGAAAACUGCAAAAUGCAGAUGAAAGAAAUCAAAGAAGACCAAUUUAAAUGGUGAGACAAAAAAAAAA